rnacentral:rRNA from 1 species
GUGGGGAAUAUUGCACAAUGGGCGGAAGCCUGAUGCAGCAACGCCGCGUGCGGGAUGACGGCCUUCGGGUUGUAAACCGCUUUCAGCAGGGACGAAGCGCAAGUGACGGUACCUGCAGAAGAAGCACCGGCUAACUACGUGCCAGCAGCCGCGGUGAUACGUAGGGUGCGAGCGUUGUCCGGAUUUAUUGGGCGUAAAGAGCUUGUAGGCGGUUGGUUGCGUCGAAAGUGCAAACUCAGGGCUUAACUCUGAGCCUGCUUUCGAUACGGGCUGACUGGAGGAAGGUAGGGGAGAAUGGAAUUCCCGGUGGAGCGGUGGAAUGCGCAGAUAUCGGGAGGAACACCAGUGGCGAAGGCGGUUCUCUGGACCUUUCCUGACGCUGAGAAGCGAAAGCGUGGGGAGCAAACAGGCUUAGAUACCCGAGUAGUCC